rnacentral:rRNA from 1 species
AUUGAACGCUGGCGGCAGGCCUAACACAUGCAAGUCGAGCGGAUGAAGGGUGCUUGCUCGUGGAUUCGGGGGGGGAGGGGUGGGUGAGGCAUGGGAAUAUGGGUAGCUGUGGGGGAGUAGGGGAGGAAGCGGGGGAUAAUACGGCAUUAGUGCAGAGGGUGAAGGGGGGGGAGCAUGGGAACUUAGGCUAUCAGGUGAGUCUAGGUGGGGUUAGCUAGUUGGUGGGGUAAAGGCCUACCAAGGCAACGAUCCGUAGCUGGUCUGAGAGGAUGAUCAGUCACACUGGAACUGAGACACGGUCCAGACUCCUACGGGAGGCAGCAGUGGGGAAUAUUGGACAAUGGGCGAAAGCCUGAUCCAGCCAUGCCGCGUGUGUGAAGAAGGUCUUCGGAUUGUAAAGCCCUUUAAGUUGGGAGGAAAGGCAGUAAGUUAAUACCCUGCUGUUCUGACGGUACCAACAGAAUAAGCACCGGCUAACUUCGUG